rnacentral:rRNA from 1 species
UAAAGAUUCAUCGCUGAUAGAUAGGCAUGCGUUCCAUUAGGCAGUUGGCGGGGUAACGGCCCACCAAACCGACGAUGGAUAGGGGUUCUGAGAGGAAGGUCCCCCACAUUGGUACUGAGACACGGACCAAACUCCUACGGGAGGCAGCAGUGAGGGAUAUUGGUCAAUGGGCGUAAGCCUGAACCAGCCAAGUCGCGUGAGGGAUGAAGGUUCUAUGGAUCGUAAACCUCUUUUAUAAGGGAAUAAAGUGCGGGACGUGUCCCGUUUUGUAUGUACCUUAUGAAUAAGGAUCGGCUAACUCCGUGCCAGCAGCCGCGGUAAUACGGAGGAUCCGAGCGUUAUCCGGAUUUAUUGGGUUUAAAGGGUGCGUAGGCGGCCUUUUAAGUCAGCGGUGAAAGUCUGUGGCUCAACCAUAGAAUUGCCGUUGAAACUGGGAGGCUUGAGUAUGUUUGAGGCAGGCGGAAUGCGUGGUGUAGCGGUGAAAUGCUUAGAUAUCACGCAGAACCCCGAUUGCGAAGGCAGCCUGCCAAGCCAUGACUGACGCUGAUGCACGAAAGCGUGGGGAUCAAACAGGAUUAGAUACCCUGGUAGUCCACGCAGUAAACGAUGAUCACUAGCUGUUUGCGAUACACAGUAA